GAUGAACGCUGGCGGCGUGCCUAAUACAUGCAAGUCGAGCGAACAGACGGGGAGCUUGCUCCUCUGACGUUAGCGGCGGACGGGUGAGUAACACGUGGAUAACCUACCUAUAAGACUGGGAUAACUUCAGGAAACCGGAGCUAAUACCGGAUAAUAUAUUGAACCGCAUGGUUCAAUAGUGAAAGACGGUUUUGCUGUCACUUAUAGAUGGAUCCGCGCCGCAUUAGCUAGUUGGUAAGGUAACGGCUUACCAAGGCAACGAUGCGUAGCCGACCUGAGAGGGUGAUCGGCCACACUGGAACUGAGACACGGUCCAGACUCCUACGGGAGGCAGCAGUAGGGAAUCUUCCGCAAUGGGCGAAAGCCUGACGGAGCAACGCCGCGUGAGUGAUGAAGGUCUUCGGAUCGUAAAACUCUGUUAUUAGGGAAGAACAAAUGUGUAAGUAACUAUGCACGUCUUGACGGUACCUAAUCAGAAAGCCACGGCUAACUACGUG
rnacentral:rRNA from 1 species